AUGGAACGUGAGCCACGCAGUAAUUUUAAAUUUUCUAGUAGCCAUGUUGAAUCAAGUAUAAAACAGGCGGAAUGAAUUUUAAUCUUACCUUUUAACUCAAUAUAUCAAACAUAUUGUUGUAACAUGUAAUCACUCAAAUUAUUAAUAAGGCAUUUUAUAGUCCUUUGGCACAAAGUUUUAGAAAUCUGAUAUGUGUUUCACAUGUAUGGCACAUAUCAAUUCAGAUUAGCCCUCUUUAAAGUACCUGAGAGCCAUAUGUGUUUAGUACUGGCCACUGUACUGGACAGUGCAACUCCAGACAUACAAUUGACUUGAAAGCCCAGCUUUUGGAAGAAGAAGGAAACUGACACUUGUUGAGUACCUACAGCUUCCAGAUACUGUGCUUGUUGCUUCACAUAUGUUUCUCACUGAAUCAUCACCAAAGCCUUUUAGGUAGAUAGUAUUAUGCCCAUAUUAUAAAUGAAGGGACUGAAGCUCAGAGGCGUUAAGUAACUGGCCCGAGGUCACACAGUAAGUCUGGCUGCAAAGCCUUAGUUCUUUCCAUGACAUCACACUGCCUCCCUUAUCCUUUAUUCCACCUGUCAACAUGUUAUAGACUGUAUUUUAAACUGACUAGAUGAUUCACAUUUGUAGCCUAAUUGGGAAACCCUUGAUUAGCCUAAGAUCUGCCAGAAUCCUGAGUGUUAACUCCAGGCAAGAGCACCUUGGUGAAGGGGUUCCUUCUGACCGUACACCAGCCUUUCCUGUCCUCCCUGCCUUGAAACACAUUCCCUCCCCUGGCCAGGAAAAUUCCCCAGGAUUCAGAUUGUACUGUCCAGCCCACCCUGCAGUCACCCCCUCUCCCCUCUCGGUGGCUCUAGGAGGCACCUUGUUUAAUGAAACUUCCAUCUCCAGUCUUGUCUGGGGUCCUCUGCCCCAGAAGCCUAUAACUUAUUCCCCCUAAGAUAAAAAGCCUGACAUCAGCUUGCUCCAGAGACAAAACCCAUCGUCUCACCUUUUUCUAUUCUAAUACUCCUGUCCCAGCAGGGAAGAUACCUACCCAGAUCCUCGUCCCUGAUAUAGGGAAGCCUCCAGCUCUUCAAUCUUUUGCAGAGGUGAGAUAGCUGAUACAAUAUUUGCCUAGUUGAUUAUUAAGCUUUCUUAAAAAACAGUUCAACCCCUUUCCCCACAUUCUUGAGAGUGACACAUUCCUCAGGUUUCCCUCAAGAGAAUUUUUUUUAAUGUUUUCAACAUUACAGUGGUGAAAUUCCAAAAGACCUUAGGAAUAUUUUUUUGUUAAGGGAUAUAGUUUUCAGCCAAGUUAGGCAACAGUCACUGUCUCAGGUUUCCCCCUUCCGAAAUACAAAGUAACUUUUAUUUAAAAGUCUGAGCAUUGAUUUUUCAUAAGUAGAUCCUGAGUACUUCCGUGUCUUCUGUUCUCCACGUGUCUGCAGUGAAGGUCUCAGGGCUUCAGCAAGCUGGGUGGGGCUUCCUCUGUUCUCACAACCAUUGGGAUUUCUGCAAACUGCUGCCAGAAAAAUAGAAAUACUUAUUCAAAAGAAAAGAGUAUUGGCAGGCAGCACUCAAAACCUGGAUGCACAGUUUUAAAGAUCCCACCUAGAUUCCCAACCCAGCCUUUCCAUGUGAUGCAGUUGGCAGCAAGAAGAAUUUGUUGUGACAAAAAGGCUUCUCACAGGUAAAUACCUGAGGUUUCUACCUUUGCAUAAUAGAAUCAGACCCAUCCAGGUUACUCCCCAGUAUCUAAAAUGAACACUGUCACUUUCACAGUUUAAAAAUACCUAUUUGUGCUUUCAGCCCUUAAACUAAAGGUUGUAGCUUCCGUCAUCUCAGUUAAGGUUCUGUACCUCACAGUCAGUCAAUGUUUACAAGCCUCAAUGGUUUCCCUUCCCUGAAGCUUCUAUCAGAGGAAAAUUGGCAUGUUUCCCCCAUACCAAAGAGAUGAGCUAGCCUUUACCCUCUAAGGCUAUCCUGACCCCUAUCAUAGCUACUUAGGAUCUUCUGACAGAUUCAAUGAUCUUUCCCCAUGUUCUCAUUUUGUGUAACAUGUGGCAUCUUUCUUUUGCUCAUCUAUUCUGAGGAAGUAGGCCCAGAUUACAGGCUCUUCCCUGGUUAUUUUCCUGAUAUUGUUGGAAUAAUUGAUAUUCUGGUCCCUUUAGCCAACAGCUGAAUGUGCUCCUUGUGAUUGGAGCCAGAAUUCUCCUCCACCAUCUCAUGCUGGAGUCUGUCUGGGAUUAUAGCAAGGAGGAUCUCAUGAUCUAGUCCUUUCCAAGACGUCAACAGUCACACGCUUGGUUCCCUACUGAUGAGAGAGUGGAGCUGGAAUUUCACCCAUCUCCAUGGGAUCCCCAAACCCAUCUGGUCCACAGCCAGUCAGCCCACUGACCAGCCUCCCACAACCCCAGCCCAUCCGUCCAGGCUGUCCAUCUGGUUAGUUGGUGAUGAGCACACCCCCUCUUCUCCUGCACCUCCUCUGUAACAUGUGUUCAGUGGUGCUCCCUGGCACACCCCACAGCAGCACUAACAUUCAUAUACUUUGCAAGGAUGAGUUUUCUUUCCCUUGAAUCUCCUAGGCUACAUUCAAGAUAUCCCCUUUUCCAAACCAUGGAGACCUCUGUUAGUUGAACUGACACCAUUUCCACUUUGCCAUGAAGUAAAACCUCAGGGCCCUAUACUUGUCCCCUCUGUCAUGAACUUGGCAUGUCCUGGCAACUAGCAGGUAACUUGCUCACCAUUUGAGGAGUACUACUGCCAAGAAGAAGGGAUUUAAGUCCUCAGUUGCAGCUAUUAAUCCUCAAUGCUUUCAUCUUAGGUUUCCUAUUUUGCUCUUACUACCCAUUCCUGUGGGGUUCUCUUGGAAGAUAUGGUCCUUCCUGUCCACCAAAGAUGGGCUGGUUGCCUUACCUACCCAGACUAGUUAUGGGAAAUUUCUUACACCUUCAUUAGAGGAACAUUAGGUUGGCAUUUUUCAGGUGAAUAUUGAACUGCAAAAUUAAGUUGGUAAUCAUAGCUGACAUUUAUUGAGAGUUUCCUAUGUUCCAUGUAUUUCUAAGAACUAUAUAUAGAUUAUCUCAAUUUAUCAUCAAAACAACACAAUGGAAUAAGUAUUAUUAAUGUCUCCAUUGGGGAAUCUCAGAUAGAUAAGAGUUACGUAACUUGUCCAAGGUAACCACAGCUAUUGAGGAGCAAAGAUGGGUAAACGCCCUGCUGGUGGAUUUGCUCAGAGGUUUCCUGCAGAGCUGCAGAGGAGAUAGAAAUGCAGAGCUGUCUGGGUUUCCUGUGAAAGGCCUGAAUCCUGGCAUAUGGACCUUGACCGUCACAAGACUGAGCCCAGCAGUAAAAGGGGGAGAGGUAGAGAAAUCCAUCUGUGCUCAUUCAGCAUGCUCUUACUGAACUGCUGUGUGCCUGCACUGUGCGUGGUACUGAGAGAAAAGUCAAAGUGAAAGACACUGCACAUGCCUUUGAGGGUCUUACACAUUACCUCGAAGGACGGAGACAUAAGCUGAUGUUUUAGAUCUCUGAUUAUACAAAGAAUGGUCUGUUUUCACUAAUUUCAAGUCUAAGAAAAGAUGAACACAUGGAUUGGCCAAAGGCCAUACAAUGUAAGAUGAUACCUGUGCUUGGGAGAAUUCACCAGAUUUUAAGUAAAAUCUUGAGUCACUUUACAGAAGAGGAAAUUAAGACCUGGUAUGGAGAAGUGACUGGCUUUGUGUCUAACGGGUGCAUUGAGGAUUGGGAUCCUGUGCCUGGGCAAGCAGGGGUUGAAGGAGGCAUCUCUAGCUGUCCCAGGAGCUUGAGAGGGGGUGUGGUGGAGGGAGCAAAGCAGGCCUGGAAGAAAGGCAGUUGCAGAGAACUAGAGGGUCCUCCCUAAUCCAAGGCAGGUGCAGUUGCUCCUGAGGGAAAGGGGCUGUUUAGUUCAGGGGACCUGGGUUGAGAGUCUGUUUCUUGGCCACUGUUUCCUUAUUGGUAAAAUGUCAAUGGUAAGUAUCUACAUCAGUAAGUAUGCCUGUGUAGUACUAGGUAGUUAUACAGAUCACAUAUUGGAUUGGAAAAGGCAGCAAAAUAACAGUCAUUAUUAUUAAUGAUAUGCAUCACUUAAAUUAAUAUAAAUUAUAGCAUAUUAGUGAUAAUAUUCAAUAUGUUAAGCUCAAAGACUCUCAAAGCUGGCAAAAGCUAUCAGAGGUCGUCUACUCCAGCCUCCCUCAAUGGGUAUUAGAAUCCCCUGUUCAAUAUCCAUACAAGCUCUUAUCAAAUCUUAUUACAAGCAAAAUUAUGCAUAACGAAUUUCAGAAUUUACCCAAGGCAGGGAGUGGCUCUCUGUGCUCUAAUCAGACCAAGGCCUGAGGCUUAUGGCUCCAUAUUCCUGGUGGGCCCUUGUGAAGCCAUCAUUCUUGACUUUGUGGGAAAUCCAGAGCCCAGACAUCAAGCAGCUCCCAAAGACUGCUAUGGUCAAAAUAGUGUUUUAAAAAACUAGGUACAGAGCCUGGGACCCAGCUGGAAAAAUCUCAGGUGGUUCAUUAUUCCUUUGCCAAAUCAGCACUUGUCUCCAUGAUUUUCAGCAAAGAAAGGAGGCAGGGAAGGGGCAGAGAGCACAUGGUAACCUCUGCAGCCCCUGAUGCCCUGUAUGUUCUGACAUACACGACAGUCCCAAUAGUAGCUGGAAGCACCUGGAGAAUUCUAGACCUCACUGCUGGGCUGAGGAUGGCCAUCCUGCCCCUCAUUGGUUCCCUAAUCCUGUCCACCCUUCAUCUUUCUUCCAGGAUUGGCCCAACAGCCAAAAUCUAACACCAGGAUGCUGGAAUGACACAAAUGCUGCCACUAAACACCUCCCACUGUUUCCCUUCUGGGAUGGGAAGACUGCCAGGUGCCAGGAAAAUCAUAGUCUGGCUCUGAUGAGAAGGCUGAGUGGGCCAGAGGCUCUCCACUUGAGAUGGGAGGCAAGCUCUUCCCAAGGGGUGAUGGGAUGGUAGCCCAUUGACCAGCCCUCUCUGCCUCCCUUUAAUACCUGGGCCCCCUCUAGCCCAAAGACCAUCCAUUUGCUUUAGGUAUGGAGAUUAAAAUUAAUUCCCAAUUUGAUCUUCUGAAUCAACACACUAGUCUUAAUGAGAGUGAAGAAAAGAUGUUAGAGAAAUGGUUUCAUCCUAAGAUCAGAGAGGGCUUGUUGAAGUGUGCAUGGCUGGACAUUAGCCCUCCUUGGGUAGGGCUAAUGCUUCGCAGUUUCUUUGGGGAGAGCUGGAGUGUGCCAGGACAUAUUGGGGCUGGGGUGACUGACUUACAUGAAGAGGUUGGAUUCUGUGUUUAAAUAGAGAAGACUGUGGGUCACUCCAGAGGUCUGGAAGCAGGCAGGGAGGACCUCAACAGUGAUAUGGUGCAGAAGCCCAAUUCUUCCCUUGGUCUUUGUGCUUUUAAGAGUCUUGGUGAGGUUCCACCUUCUGAGGAAUCAUGCAAACUGCUUUGGGCUAACUCAGCUUUGACUUGUGAGGGAAGCAGAGGCAUAGAAUUUUCUUGUGGCUUUUUUCUUGAGGCUCAAGGUCUUCCAUUCUUUCUGAGGUUACAGAAAAUGAGGGUUUGUGCCAGACGUGAGAAAACCAGAGAAGGGUUCCAUCUGUGCUUUCUACCCCAAACUAAAGAUGAAGGGGCUCAGACAAGAGCACCUGAUUCCAGGAGCGGUCAGUGAGGGUUCCUUCCCUGCCUGCAUUGAGCUUUGUCUGCAGAAUGGUGGAACAGAAACAAAACUGGAGACAUUUAUAUGUAGAGGUAUACAAUGUCAGCAGCACAGUCAAAAAGAUUCUAUACCGUCUCAGCAUUCCAAACAUUUCUUAAGCAUGGAUAAUCGUAUUCUUUAUCAAAAGUCUGAUUUUUCCAUGUUACAAAUUCUUCCAAACUGAGGAUCAAAGUAUUUUUGGGCUUAGUUUUUAUAGCGCUUAUGGGACAGAAGUAGGUUUCAAACUUUAAAUCUUCUGACCCCAGAACUGGAGUUCCCUACAUACCACACCCCCGCACUCAGGCAUUACAGCGAUACCUGGCUGCCGCAGCAGCAAAGAGGGAAAAACAUGAGCCUAAGAAGGCAGCCCAGAGCUAGGAAAGAUAAUGUCCAUGCAAGUGGGAGGAGAGUCAAGCCUGGAGACGUAGCCAAGUGGCACAGGACCCUGGAGAGUUGAGAGGGGGCUGAAGAGAGGAGCUCUGCCAGAAUUCUCCAUGAACAUGGAGAACAGCUCUCCAGUGCCAAUCUAGCUGGGACAGGGGUGAGAGAUUAUUGUCCAUUGUAACCUGAGCAGGAAAGGGGGAGUAAGAGGGAUCUAGGUAAGGAUAAGUAGGAAAGAGCGGGGCAUGGCAGAGUCUGGUUGAGAGGACACAGCUGUCCAGGUCCAGGCUAUUGGCCCACCCCACCCACCGGGGUGGGAGCAGUGUGCUCUACCUGGAGUGACUACCUAGUGAAACCAGGGUGCAAGUAGGGACCAACUAGGAGUCAUGGUCAUUUUGAAGAUUUGUGUUAGUCCUAUCUGCUUUGAGUCUCCAGUUACUUCCUGUAUGAAGGCAAAGACUCCCAUCCCCCACAUAAGAAUAGAGGCACAUUGGGAAAUCUCGACCUUUCAAGGCCUGGAGAAGGAAGAAAGGACUUGCUUCUCCAUGAAUAUGGGAGGUCUCAGGGCACAGCCCCGCUCAUCUCUUCCAGGAUCCAUUUGGACAAGAUCCACUUGUCUCUUCCAGGGAAUGGCUUGGAGACUACAUGGGUGGAGAAUGGAUGAGGGUAAUGAGACCUAACCCUUCUAGAUUGUUCCAGAGUGUUAAUCAGAUUGUUAAUCAGUCUUAUCAAGUAUCCCUGGGAAGAAGGCUAUUGCACAGAAGGGUGUGGGUCUUUCAUAAAGUAUCAUGGAAUCUGGAUUGACCCUGAACCAGCUAGAGGAGGGAGAAGUCAUGAGCACAGGACUCAGGAUUCUUUCCCCUUUGGGUCGUGAUGCAGCAUGAAUGGGAAAGCUCUCAGCAGAAUAUAAAGGACUGUUCAAACAAGGAAGAGGAAACUCAUGUUAUUUACCAAAUGCUGUGGUAAGCAUCCCAGAUUUCUCAUGUGUGUUAUUCCUCAUAAGCCGCACCCAUCCUUCUGACAUAGGGGUUAGAUCAUUCAUUUCACAGCUGAGAAAGCUGAGACACACAGAAGUUAAGCAGCCUGCUCAAAGUCAUACAACUAGUUAGGGGAAGCGUUGGGUAAUCACUUAAUAACUAGAGUUACUCCUAAGUUGCCUAAGGAACACCAAGGGAUAUUAGAAUUUCAGUGAAUUUUCUGGAAAGAAUCAUAACAUGUGAGCAAUGAGGUUGAAAAAGUGAGCCUAAAGUUAAAAAGUAGAAGCCAUGAAAAAAUGCAUUGGGCAAAUAAUAUUUAGUGACUUCUCGGUGCCUGUCCCAGUACCUUAUAUGGUAAGAAAUAAAAGGUUGCUCUUAAGGUCCUUAAAAUUUUUCCUUUCAAACUAAGCACUAAAUAAUUCCCACAUCACUGAUGCUUUUUUGUUUCUAAAGUGUGGGGGUUGGAUACAGAGGAGGAGUAGGGUGGCAGGCCCUAACUCUAGCUGCACAGAAUAGGUGGCUCUCCCCGCAAGGAAGGCAAGGGCACCCCAUGUCCAUUCCUUCAAGAGUUGAGUCUUUUUCCUUCCUGGUUUCAAUAUCCUCAAGUGUAAAAUGGUUCUGGUAUCUACCUCAAAGAGUACCGGGUUUGUAAAUUAAAUAGCUCUAUAUAGUUAAACAAAUAACCUGUAGGAUUUGAAAAGUCACCAACUCACGAUGAUUAAUGUAAUAGAUCACCGAUAAAACUGUUACAAAUUACAAUACAUUAAUGACUAUUACAUGGAUAUUAGGUCUGGAAUCUCAGAGCUGGAAAACACCAGAAAUCUCCAAAUAAGCCCUCCUCAGCUCAUCAAUAUCCCUGUCAGGUAGUGUUAUUCUGAUUACAAAUUAUUCCUUAGUUUUAAUUCAUAAAUCCUCCAAGGAAGAGAAAACAUGAUAAAGCAUUCUCAUGCCUUGUGCUUCAAGGAGCUUAGUACUUGAUUGUGGCUCCAGGUUUGCACAUACUCCACCAUUCCUGCUCCUUAAAAGACCCCAGAGUCAUAACAGAAAACUGCCAGUAUGUGCUGUGAUCACCACUAGGGUAGAAAAACAGCCAGCCAGGGUCCUUGCUGAGAAAUCUUUAGGAAAUCUUAAAUGUCCAUUGUUCUCUUACCAAAUCAAGUCUGGUCUCUAUGACACAUCGAGUGGAAGGAAAAAGAGGACAAGGCACAGGGACACUGGCCAACUGUGAGGCCCCAGUAAAUGAAUGUUGCAUUCUGCUAUGAAUUUCACUACCAGUUGUGCAGUCCAGGACAGUUGCUUACCACCUCCCAGGUGCACAGCAUAGGCCAAUGAUGGGGCACACUCUCUUCACACUCUAAGCACAACACCAGGACACCGCCACCCUGCCACUAGUAAUUUCUUCCUUAAUAAGUCUCCACUUACCUUCAUUCAAGAACUGGAAGAGUAUAAAAGGUAUAAAAAUAGCAACCAAUAAAAUUCUAGGACCUCAAUACUAAUCACUAUUUAUUCCCAUCCACAUCCUCCCAUUUGACCUGACAUUGAGGUAGAUACAUUUGUUCCUUUAGUCCUUGCCCUAAUACAAGGUAAAUGCUCAUAGUAAACCGCCAGGUAUCUACUAAACCAACUGGUAUCAGGUCCCUGCCUAAGAUAAUGAGGGUAUCAUUCAAAGGCGGAGGUGGGAGGGCCGAGGACAUCCCUUAUAAGAGCCCUCUCCAUUGUCCAUCUCCCUCUAGCACAAACACCAAUUGAGCUGGUUUGGGGGAAAGAAUCAAAGAUCAGGGUCUUCUGAAUCAGCACACCAAUCAGCUCAAGCAGAAAAGAAUGACAUAGAGCCUUUAUUAAACUGGUCCACUCUGUCCUGAGGUAUGUGGGACUAGCCUGGCUGGCUGACCAGGUUUCUUGAGCCCCAGAGGCCUGUUUCACAGAAAGGGAGUUUUGAUAAACAAGGCCAUGUGCAAUAGGGGAAAUUAUACCCAUGUGGGGAGCCAAGUUUCUAUGUUGAUGGUAAUUGGAAAAACUUUUGAGUCAGAGCUGAGCUCUGGGACAAAAGGGGAAAAGAAGAGGGAUGAAGGGAAGGGGCCCACUUCCUCUUGACUGAUUCUAAAGCUCAUAAUGGGAUUCCAACUCACAGCUAGCCCUCUCUACUAAGGAAGCAUAGGAACCUUGACCCCCCCAGGGAACCUAGAACUGGGAAGGUUAGACUUUUUCUUGUUGUGUGAGGGUCAUGUCUCCUCCCAGAAGGCAGAGUACUGGAUAUUUUGAUGGGGACAAGGAGGGUCCAAGUGUGGAGACCCAAUGUCGAAGUCCUACUGUUAGAUACUAGUCCAAAUAGCUCCAGCUCAGCAAAGGCAGGUAAGCCUGGACAGGGUUCCACAGGGAUGGAUCUUCCUAAGGGCUGCCUUCCCAGUUCCUAGAAAAUGGUGGUGCACGCAGACUGCCUUCCUCCACUUCCUUGUAGCUUCAUUAAGGAUAACGAUCAUUCUAUAAAAGAAAAAAAAAAAAAUCAGAGGAAACUUGAUACAUACAAAAACAACACGCAGCACAGAAACAAGACAAAGUUAAAAUCACAAAAUGUAAUUGGCAGCACAUCGGUUUUCAAAAGAUAUCUACAUAAUUACUCCCAUUCUCCUAAGAAUUCUGGAUUAGGGCAUUAUCACUGCGUCUCUUUCCAGGUGAGUGGGCAUGCCCACCAAGGGUGAGGUGUCCUUCCCAUGAUCGCACGGCUUAGAUGGAAGACCUGGGACUGGACAAGGGGACCUUCUGAUCCCAGGUCUGGGUUCCACCAUCCCCAACCUUUCACUCGUCACGAUAGGGAGGGAGGGGAGAAAUGGGAGCAAGGGGGUGGUGAGCCUAGAUGGAAAAUAACCACAGGGAAACAGAGCCAUGCCUGGGAGGGGCGGGUCUGGGCCACACACUCCGGAGAUUUCAGACCUGGGUUAGCGCUGGCGAGGGCAGGUCUGCCGGGCAUGUCUUUGUCCUUCGGGUCCUGGGCUCUUUCCUGGCAUGCAGGACACGCCCCUCCAUGGAUAGGGGAAUGGAUUUCUUCUUCCAUGAGGGAGAAAAUACGGAGGUGAAGGAAGAGCAGAAUGGACAAGUACCAGACUGCAGCUGCAGCCAAGCGGGGGAAGAGGCCCACGAGGGUCCUGGGGCGGCUGCCGCAGGCCGGUCCCGCCUCGCCGGUUCAGAAGCUCCACACCUAGGGGAGGAUGGGCGGCAGCGGUCCUGAGCAGCCUUCUGCGGAAAACCUCAGAAACCACCCUGCCAGGUAAGAUGAAGUAAACGCAUGGCUGCCUCUCUCUCCCACUGAGGAUACAACCUCGAUAGAGUGCAUAUUGCAGCUAUUUGAAUGAUCCGAACAGUAAAUACCAGCAAGUGGAUUGGAUGAAAACAACCAGGAUCCCAAGUACCACAAACCUGGUGAUGAGAAAACUGAGACACAGAAAGGUCACACAAGAUUAUCCAGGUCUACACAGAGAGCAGUGGAGCCGACACCUGACCCCGGGCAGGUGGAGCCUUCAUGACCACACCACACCACCAUGGGGAGUGGGCAGGGAAGACAGGGGGGCUAGCAGGGCAAAAAUGACAUUUGCCAGAGUUUCUUGCUGCUUGGAUUUGGCUGCAGUUUCAGUUUUGCCAUCAAGAGGUACUUCCAUGAGCUCUGGACAGUGGCAGAGAGGCAGAGGUGCUCUUCUGCAGUGUGUUGGAUGGUCCGCAGUCUCCUGCCAACGUGAGGAUUUGCAGCAACUGGUAUAUCCAUGGUCUUGCCACCAGCUUCCUGAAUGUGGGUCAGCUGGAGUUGCAUUAGUGGGCCUUACAGGGGCAGCUGCUGUCUCCUGGUCUCAGGCUCACAGCUGUGGGGAUGUGACCUUAAGCCAAAGCGGAGCAGUGGUCCUGACCUUCAUUUGCCUGGGCCCUCUGAUUACUCUGUAAGUCACUAUUUCCCUUAUUAAAUCUCUUUCUGCUGGA